rnacentral:misc_RNA from 1 species
GAAAUAGUUGAAGAUCCGGUGAACAGCGAUGUGGCUCUUCCUUUCCGCCAUUAAACCAGCAUGGACAAGCAAGGAAAUCCUGUUAGACUCGCUAAAGUUACUAAAAUUUUAGGCCGUACUGGCUCGCAAGGGCAAUGUACCCAAGUUCGCGUCGAAUUUAUCGAUGAACAGAACCGUUCUAUCAUCCGUAACGUUAAAGGCCCAGUUCGUGAAGGCGACAUUUUGACUCUUCUCGAAUCUGAAAGAGAAGCAAGAAGACUCCGAUAGGUAAUUAUUAAAACCUUUCACUCAUAGACAAGUGUUCGAUAGCACGCUGCAUAAGCACGAUGCAUUUUAACUCAAAAUUCUGACGUGUUGUCGAACCACGUGCUACGUAGAGCAACCCACUUCCAGCUCCUAAGAGAUAAGAAAUUCGUUUCUUAGGCGUUUUCCCUUGUGGGAGAUUAGUAUCUUUGAUCUAUAUUUAGUAUUGAUAUAUAAAUGCUAGAUACGCUUGCAAAGUUACAACUCUAAUAAUUUUUUUCUCUGCAGAUUUCGUGAACUGUCCAAAGAAGAUCAGACAGGUCCGUCAGAUGUCUAUUGUUAUGGCGUUAUAAAUGUACAUUUCACUUGCGAAUAAAAAAAUUACAUGAUCAGAUAUUGUUAUGUUUGUUAUUUAUUUUCUUUAAAAAAUACAAUAAAUUGUUCUG